ACGGCCCACGGUCAAACAUUCGCCUGUCCAUUUAGUGACUGGGGGGAUGCCGCGUGGAGCCAAGAAAGACGCUUGAGGCGGCAUGCAGCCAUCCCCUUGGGAAAGCGCGUGGGAGGCCCAUCUAGAGGGCGCUACGUGUAUACAUUG
rnacentral:snoRNA from 1 species